rfam:Pan troglodytes isolate Yerkes chimp pedigree #C0471 (Clint) chromosome 11, whole genome shotgun sequence.
GCUGGGUGUGGUGGCGCACACCUGUAGUCCCAGCUACUCAGGAGGCUGAGGCAGGAGAAUCGCUUGACCUAGGGAGUCAGAGGUAGCAGUGAGCUGAGAUCACACCACUGCACUCCAGCCUGGGGACAGAGCGAGACCCUGUCUCAA